rnacentral:rRNA from 1 species
AUUGAACGCUGGCGGCAUGCCUAACACAUGCAAGUCGAGCGGAGCGGCGCACGGGUGAGUAAUGCCUAGGAAUCUUCCUGGUAGUGGUGGAUAACGUCCGUAUACGGGCGCUAAUACCGCAUACUAUCAGAUGAGCCUCUGUCGGAUUAGCUAGUUGGUGGGGUAAAUGCCUACCAAGGCGACGAUCCGUAACUGGUCUGAGAGGAUGAUCAGUCACACUGUAACAGAGACACGGUCCAGACUCCUACGGGAGGCAGCAGUGGGGAAUAUUGGACAAUGGGCGAAAGCCUGAUCCAGCCAUGCCGCGUGUGUGAAGAAGGUCUUCGGAUUGUAAAGCACUUUAAGUUGGGAGGCGUUACCAACAGAAUAAGCCACGGCUAACUACGUGCCAGCAGCCGCGGUAAUUC